UACGGAGGGGGCCAGCGUUGUUCGGAAUCACUGGGCGUAAAGGGUGCGUAGGCGGCGGUGUAAGUCAGAUGUGGAAUGCCAGGGCUCAACCUUGGAACUGCAUCCGAUACUGCAUUGCUUGAGUACUGGAGGGGAGUCUGGAAUUCACGGUGGAGCAGUGAAAUGCGUGGAUAUCGUGAGGAACACUAGUGGCGAAGGCGAGACUCUGGACAGUUACUGACGCUGAGGCACGAAGGCCAGGGGAGCAAACGGG
rnacentral:rRNA from 1 species